UACGUAGGGGGGCAAGCGUUUGUCCGGAUUUAUUGGGCGUAAAGAGCGUGUAGGCGGCUUUACAGGUCCGUUGUGAAAACUCGAGGCUCAACCUCGAGACGCCGGUGGAAACCGUAAAGCUAGAGUCCGGAAGAGGAGAGUGGAAUUCCUGGUGUAGCGGUGAAAUGCGCAGAUAUCAGGAGGAACACCGGUGGCGAAGGCGGGUCUCUGGGCAGUAACUGACGCUGAGGAGCGAAAGCGUGGGGAGCAAACAGG
rnacentral:rRNA from 1 species